rnacentral:rRNA from 1 species
CCUACGGGUGGCAGCAGUGGGGAAUAUUGGACAAUGGGGGGAACCCUGAUCCAGCCAUGCCGCGUGUGUGAAGAAGGCCCUCGGGUUGUAAAGCACUUUCAGUGAGGAAGAACGCCUGGUGGUUAAUACCCAUCAGGAAAGACAUCACUCACAGAAGAAGCACCGGCUAACUCCGUGCCAGCAGCCGCGGUAAUACGGAGGGUGCGAGCGUUAAUCGGAAUUACUGGGCGUAAAGCGCGCGUAGGUGGCUUGAUAAGCCGGUUGUGAAAGCCCCGGGCUCAACCUGGGAACGGCAUCCGGAACUGUCAAGCUAGAGUGCAGGAGAGGAAGGUAGAAUUCCCGGUGUAGCGGUGAAAUGCGUAGAGAUCGGGAGGAAUACCAGUGGCGAAGGCGGCCUUCUGGACUGACACUGACACUGAGGUGCGAAAGCGUGGGUAGCAAACAGGAUUAGAUAGCCUGGUAGUC